AAUUGAUUUUCUGGGUUCGUGAAGAGUGAAUUGAUUUUCUGUUCGAUUAAUAAUAUAUUGGAGUUCUAGUGAAAUCUUUAAAUUUUGGUUUGAGCAGUUUGGAUAAGUGGUUGUCCCCUAAAUCUGAUGUCAAGUGUACAAGAGCAAGAGUUACCAGAACCAGACCAUUUCAAGGAUGUUAUGAGUGCUGAUGAUGAAGAUGAUGAUGUUGAGAUGUUAUGAAUGUAUGAUACUAUGAUAGUAUCUGUGUGACUGUGUCUGUGUUUCUUUAA